CGAACGAGAAAGUGGAGCAAUCCAUGAGUACAGUGGCGUACGGGUGAGUAACACGUGGGUAAUCUACCUCUUAGUGUGGAAUAACCCUGGGAAACCGGGGCUAAUACCGCAUAAGCUCGAGAGAGGAAAGCAGCAAUGCGCUGAGAGAGGAGCCCGCGGCCGAUUAGCUAGUUGGCAGGGUAAAAGCCUACCAAGGCAAAGAUCGGUAGCCGGCCUGAGAGGGCACACGGCCACACUGGCACUGAAACACGGGCCAGACUCCUACGGGAGGCAGCAGUGGGGAAUCUUGCACAAUGGGGGCAACCCUGAUGCAGCGACGCCGCGUGAGCGAUGAAGCCCUUCGGGGUGUAAAGCUCUUUCGGCAGGGAAGAUUAUGACGGUACCUGCAGAAGCAGCUGCGGCUAACUACGUGCCAGCAGCCGCGGUAAUACGUAGGCAGCAAGCGUUGUUCGGAGUUACUGGGCGUAAAGGGUGUGUAGGCGGUUCUCUAAGUUUGGUGUGAAAUCUCCCGGCUCAACUGGGAGGGUGCGCCGAAUACUGAAGGACUAGAGUACGGGAGAGGAGAGUGGAAUUCCUGGUGUAGCGGUGAAAUGCGUAGAUAUCAGGAGGAACACCGGUGGUGUAGACGGCUCUCUGGACCGUAACUGACGCUGAGACACGGAAGCGUGGGUAGCAAACAGGAUUAGAUACCCUGGUAGUCCACGCCCUAAACGAUGCAUAUUU
rnacentral:rRNA from 1 species